CAUAAAUUAAUUAAAUAAAACAAGUAAAUAAUUAUUUUGCUUUACUAAAUGCGUUUUUUAAAUAAUACGCUGGAUAAUUGAUAUUCAUGCAGUUAAUUUACCUUGUUGUGAAAAAUGCACUUAGUUAUUUGCACUUUUUGAAGAAAACACAAACCACUCAAAUAAACUUGUGACUGGUAACAUUAGCUAUAUUUUUUUUUUAACUCGGCAAAUAGGCAGUUCAUAGUGCUUCCAAUCACUGCCAAAGAAAAACUGAAAAAGAAAAAGAUAUGCGACGGUAAAUGGUAAAGUACCUACGGUAAGAAAAAAAAAAAGGAAACUCGAUAAUCCCGUAAAAUCGAAAAAAAAAAAACAGAGACGGCUAGAGAAAAAAAACUGGUAUGCGACGAGGAGAAGUCGCCGACGGAAGCGAGAGGCUAAGGCCGUAGUUACGCGCGACGGUAUUAGUCUCCCGCGACGUUGAUUAGUGUCCUCCGGAGGAUACUUAUGUGAUCUUUUGUAAGAUUCUUGCAGGUGCAUUGUUGUUUUCGUUGACGAGCUUCGGUGCUGGGCUUAUUUUCUUAUGCAGAGGUAGACUGUGUAGACUUGCAAAAGACAGCCUUUUGACAUCUUUGUUCACUGUCACACGAUGAAUCACGCUCUUUCCAUUAUCUGGAGCCCCUGGCUACUUUGGAGUAAGAUGGUCAGUGAGCUGAAGUCUGAGUGUGGUGGCAUUCCCAAGGCGAUUUCAGGUUCUGGACAUGUUGGAUAGCAGUUCACUGCCAUGACUUGCGACCCUUCUUCAAUCUCUUCUUGUAACAUGGAGGAUUUGAUGGCCACAUAUCAAUCCACUUUGAGAGUGGAUGAGAGUAAUGCUUGAUGAAAUCUCUCCAGUAGUGAACACUGUCUGUUGAAUGGUUAAGGCUUGUGCCAUACCUUACUGGCUCAUGAACAUUUGCAGACACAAGAAGCAUCUUCUCCUCCACAGGUAAGUCAAAGAACAAUGUUGCUGCGUCUAGGGCAUCUUUAACCACUGAUGAUGGUGUUCCAUGGUUUAUAACCUG